rnacentral:sRNA from 1 species
AAGAGGUUGUUAUACAACUUAGGGAUCGAAUUCCACAAAGUUCUCGGAUCACACAAUAGACUAACAGUUUCGAGUUAAGCUAA